AUAUGACCGAAUCGACCCUAAUCUUCCCUCAAUGAAAGUUCAUCUAUCUGAGUCUUCAUCUCCGUCUCUGCUCUCUCUACCAAUCACCCAGCAUUACCGCAGAGCUCUCUCUGUCAACUCUUCGUAGCACAGUGGCUCGCCAAUUUCAUCUUCUUUAGCUCUUAUCUUCCAAGCCGUCAUUCUUCGAAUUUGCUGUUGCAAGUUUGGUAGCCUGCUUACAGUUGUUCCUUGAUAUGGGUUUCGGUUGGUAGCGCUCACUCCUUCUUAAGGAAGGGAAUCUCAUGCUUCUGCUUGUUUCCCUUUGGAUGCGAACUCAUGAAUAUUCUUGGCUGACUUUAUGGCUGACCACAACUUUGUUGUCGGUCAAGAGUUCCCCGAUGUGAAGGCCUUUAGAAAUGCAAUUAAAGAAGCUGCUAUUGCACAACACUUUGAGCUCCGUAUAAUAAAAAGUGAUCUGGUCCGAUAUUUUGCAAAGUGUGCGUCAGAAGGUUGUCCAUGGCGGAUCCGAGCCGUGAAGGUUCCCAAUGCACCGACCUUCACGAUAAGAAGCCUUGAAGGAACCCAUACUUGCGAAAGAAAUGCACAGAACGGGCACCACCAGGCUUCUGUGGAUUGGAUCGUUAGCUUUAUAGAGGAACGCUUAAGGAGCAACAUUAACUACAAGCCCAAAGAUAUUUUGCAUGAUAUACAUAAGCACUAUGGGAUCACUAUACCGUAUAAACAGGCUUGGCGUGCGAAAGAGAGGGGGCUCGCGGCAAUUUAUGGCUCUUUUGAAGAAGGUUAUUGCUGGCUUCCAGCUGACUGUCAGCAUAUAAGGAGCGCCAAUCCUGGAAGUGUUGCAGAAGUUUUUACAAGCAGUCCUCCAGAGAAUCGGUUCGAAAGACUGUUCGUGUCAUUCUAUGCAUCGAUUUAUGGUUUCUUAAAUGGGUGUUUGCCCAUUAUCGGGCUUGGAGCAAUCCCCCUUAAAAGCAAAUAUCUUGGCACAUUGCUCUUGGCGACUUCAUUUGAUCCUGAUGGUGGGUUGUUUCCCUUAGCUUUUGGUAUUGUUGAUGAAGAGAAUGAUGAGAGUUGGUGGUGGUUUUUGUCUGAGAUACGUAAAUCUUUUGAAGUGAAUACCAGAAAUAUUCCUCCAAUUAUAUUUUUAUCUGACAGGCAAAAGGGGAUCUGUGAAGCAGCGAGAAGAAAAUUUCCAAAGUCAUCCCAUGCAUUCUGUUUGCGGUAUCUGAGUGAAACCCUUGCCAGAGAGUUUAAGAACCCAAGGCUAGCGCAUUUUCUCCAUAAAGCCGCAUAUGCUACCACGACAGUAGGUUUUAAGGAGAAGAUGGCUGAGAUAGAGGAGGUUUCCUCCGAAGCUUUCAAAUGGCUGCAACAAUAUCCUCCUUCUAGCUGGGCACUAGUCUAUUUCGAAGGGAAAAGGUUUGGUCAAAUGUAUUCGAACAUUGAGGAGUUCAAUAAAUGGAUCCUCAAGGCUCGGGAAUUGCCAAUCAUUCAAGUGAUUGAGCAGAUCCACCACAAACUAAUGGAGGAAUUUCAGGAUCGGCGCUUGAAAAGUAACUCUUGGUUCUCCAUUCUCGCCCCAUCAGCAGAGAAGAGAAUGUUAGAGGCGAUAGCUCAUGCUUCUACUUAUCAAGUCCUAAGAUCUGAUGAGGUGGAGUUCGAAGUUUUGUCACAUGAAAGAUCGAACAUUGUCAACAUUGAUAGUCGCUCCUGUUCCUGUCGUGACUGGCAACUCUUUGGUAUCCCAUGCUCGCAUGCUGUUGCUGCCAUAACAUCUUGCGGGAAGGAUGUCUACGCUUUCACAGAGAAGUGCUUUACGGCUGCUAGUUACCGGGAGGCCUACGCGGAAGAGAUACACCCAAUUUCAGGAAGAAUUCAGUCUGGAAAACCAAGGGAUGGACCUGUUGACGAUGAGAACAUACUGGUCAGACCACCCAAGUCUCGAAGACCACCCGGACGACCCGAGAAGAAGCGGUUAUGUGUAGAGGACUUAAAUCGGGAGAAACACACAGUACACUGUAGCCGGUGUAACCAAACAGGCCACUAUAAAACGACUUGCAAGGCUGAAAUCAUCAACGCUGAUAUUGAACAGUUUCAAGGUUUGACGUGAAUCAUUCUGUAACAUUUGGUAGAUCACCUAAUGGCUUAGUUCAGUUCGUCAUGUGUAGAUAGUAGUCAAUACUGGGUCUUGGGUGUAAAUCAAAGGAAUCUACUCUUAGUUAGAAUGGGAAUGAACGACGGUGUUGCACCUUCAAGUAUGGAUAUGGUUCGAUGUCAUGCGACCCUCUUCUUGAAUGAAGUCAUCAUGUGGAAAGUUGAGUUGCUAUCAACUUUGGACGAUGAUGGUCAGAAUUUUGCAGACCUUUGGUCUCAAGGAUUGUUCGGUUGUUUGAGAGCGCGCGAAGAAGCACGAGGGAGGGCCACAAAAAGAUCACAAGUAGUAUGUCUUUCUGCUAGAUUUCUCGUCCCUUGAGAUAUGAGAUGUAGCUUCUUUCAUGCAAAGAAAAGAGGAAAUUCAUAACCCCUCGAGAUCCGGUUAAGUUGUGGAUGAAAGUGUAAAUAUGAUGAAUUUCGAGGGUGCAAUACAACUACAAAGGAAGAAUCAAGGGGCCAAAGGUGAAAUUGGUCAAAAAUUCAAACUGGUA